CGUCGACCCUCCGGCGGCUGCCGACUCACCCAAGCGUAGGCGAGUCGCCUUCUCCCCGUCUCCUCUUCAUCCCUUUUGCUCCUCUUUUCCUCCACAAUCGAGACGAUUCUUGAAAGAUCCAACUGUGCUCGCUCAUGUACCAGGCCGCCUGCACCACCGGCGGGAUCGACGGCUGCCGCCUGCUCGAUCUCGUCUAGUGUAACAUGCAGGCGCUCGUGUUUCAUACAUUAGAAGACAUUUCUGCGUGAUUAUUCCAACUGUAGUUGUAGUUGCAGAGCAAUGUCGUAUUUGGUGCUGCACACCGUUCUUCUUGAAAUCAGACUAUGGUUUUCGAGAUUUUAUGUGUGCACACAGUAAAUGUUCCUCUCUGCUUGAGUGUUCUCCAGCUUGACAGCCCAUGGAGUUGCACUUCAAUGAUGUGGUAUACAGAGUAUCCACUAACUGGAUGUUUACUUUUCAUCUGUUUUCACAAUCAAACAACAAAAUUCUAGUAAUGUUUGAAACAUAAAACCCACUGUGUUACUUUAUUUGCCAUCUUUCUGUUAAAAAUCUUCAUUUUUCUUCCCA